AUCUGCAUGGUGCAAGUGCAAAAGAGACCACAGAUGGAAGCCUGCUGCUCAUACAGCUGUGUCUUUGUUGGGACAUCCAUCGGAGAACAUCUCUAACUCCUUGAACUGUUUGAACUGUUUCUGAAUACACUUACCAGAAGCCACCUUGCUGGCAGUGAAUCCAACUUGCCUAAAAGAGCUAUAUGUUCCUGUGAGGUCUCCCCAGCUAACUCACCAAUAAUUCUGUGUAUGGAAGGCAGAAAGAUAAGGGUAACUGGAUUUGGUGCCCAGGGAUACAGCAGUGACAGGCAAGACCAAUGCUCUCGUGGAUCUUCCAUGAACCAAGAAAAUAAACAAGACAAGUGCAGAUUGUGGAAGUCCUCUGGGGGAAAUAAAUGGCAAUGUACUAGUGACUGAGAAAAUGUGUCUCUGGGGAGGUGACACUGAAGCUGCCACUGGACAAAUGAGCAGCCAACAGGAAGAGAGUACCCGGAGGAGGAAAAGUAGGUGCAAAGUCCCUGAAGCAAAAAGGAGCUCACUGUGUUCCAGAAACAAAAUGAAAGCUGGACUGGCUUGACAAUAGUAAUGGGGGCCUUGGCUAGACUGGAGCCAGGCUUGCCUAGUUCUGGUGAGUAGAGGAAGGCAACACCCAUUGCCCACAACUCUGCUUUAAUCCACUGGUUUACCCCGGGCCUAAGGAGCAUCCUGGAAUCGAAGCCUGUUCACCAUUAGGGUUCAGGCAUCCAUUGUGUCAACUAGAUAGAGGUGGCCCCAGCAAGGGAAGACAAUUUCAAAAAGUGAACCCAAAUCAGAAAACAGUCCAAGCACUGCAGGAAAGUGAAGGUUCUAGGUUAAUGAUAAAGGACACCAGAAGUCAUCCUGACCCAGUGUUGUGUUGUGUUGUGUCUGCUUGCCUGGAAUAAAGGUGCACUGAAAGAAAGGUAGCAUUAAGUACCGUGGCAUAUCGGGAUCCAAACAUCGCUCUCUAGGGAUCCCACGCCAGCACCAACCUAAGCUUAAGACUGGAGUGUCUCCAUCACAGUCUGCAAGAACAGUGGCAAGAUCUCCAACCCGGAGGCACAGCUGUCAUCUUCGGGUUUCACCACAUUGGGCACCAUGGAUUUGCAGCUCAGGGGAAGCAUCUGUCACGAUAAGAACACAGUUUUAAAAAUAAAGGUUUGGGGCAUGAGGGUGGUUUAGUCAGUGAAGCG